UGAGCUGAGUCACAUCUGUGUUCCCUGAUCACUCGGGUGGGUGGGGGAGACAAUGUAUAGUAACAAGAAAUGAAACACUCUGCUUCACGGGCUAGUGUUUUUUUUAAAAAAGAACAGUGAAAGGACUUGUCUGAAGUUAUUCUGACACGGCCCCUAGUUGCUAGGGCCUAUAUAAAAAAGCAGCUCAAAUGGAAAGUGUCACCCAGGACAGCAUUGGGAGGAAAUGACACCAGGAGACCUUGUUUCAGUGAGAAGUCCCAGGCACAGGGCUGAUCCAGAAGCUGGUCUGGGUUCUGUUUCCCUGCACAGCUGGGAGGAGACGGAAGCACUCUGGGCCUCCAUUGUUGGCAAAGUGAGUCACACUGGACAGGAGAGUCUGGAAGAAUGGCAGGCAUAGCUUGCAAGCGCAUCUGGAGGUGGCUGGAGAGAAAUAAAACGGAUUCUCUGGGGAGACGCAGCACAUCGCCUGUGGCUCU
rnacentral:antisense_RNA from 1 species